rnacentral:pre_miRNA from 1 species
UGGAAGACUAGUGAUUUUGUUGUUUUAUUGGAAACAAACAAGAAAUCACUAUCUUCCAAC